UGCCUAAGACAUGCAAGUCGUACGAGACGGCCCAAUGAAACGGAGUGCUUGCACAAAGUGGAUUUGGAUUUUCGUCUAGUGGCGCAAGGGUGAGUAACACGUGGGUAAUCUGCCUUGGAGACUGGAAUAACAAUUGGAAACGAUUGCUAAUGCCGGAUGAAAUGCAUAGCAUAAAGUUGUGUAGUAAAAGGAGCCUUUUAAAGCUUCACUUCAAGAUGAGCCUGCGGCGCAUUAGCUAGUUGGUGGGGUAAUGGCCUACCAAGGCGACGAUGCGUAGCCGAACUGAGAGGUUGAUCGGCCACAUUGGGACUGAGACACGGCCCAAACUCCUACGGGAGACAGCAGUUAGGAAUAUUCGUCAAUGGGGGAAACCCUGAACGAGCAAUGCCGCGUGAAUGAUGAACCGGUCCUCUGGAUUGUAAAAUUCUGUUGUUGAGGAAGAACGUUCUGUGUAGGAAAUGACACAGGAGUGACGGUACUCUUCAAGAAAGCUCCGGCUAACUACGUGCCAGCCGCCGC
rnacentral:rRNA from 1 species